rnacentral:rRNA from 1 species
AGAGUUUGAUCCUGGCUCAGGACGAACGCUGGCGGCGUGCCUAACACAUGCAAGUCGAACGAAGUAUAUUUUCGGAUAUGCUUAGUGGCGGACGGGUGAGUAACGCGUGAACAAUCUGCCCUGUACACAGGAAUAGCCACGGGAAACUGGGAUUAAAACCGGAUAACACUUUUUGGCCGCAUGGCCGGGAAGUCAAAUUGAUUUAGAGGUACAGGAUGAGUUCGCGUCUGAUUAGCUAGUUGGUGAGGUAACGGCUCACCAAGGCGACGAUCAGUAGCCGGCCUGAGAGGGUGAACGGCCACACUGGAACUGAGACACGGUCCAGACUCCUACGGGAGGCAGCAGUGGGGAAUAUUGCACAAUGGAGGAAACUCUGAUGCAGCGACGCCGCGUGAGUGAAGAAGGUCUUCGGAUCGUAAAACUCUGUCCUUGGUGACGAAAAAAAUGACGGUAGCCAAGGAGGAAGCCCCGGCUAACUACGUGCCAGCAGCCGCGGUAAUACGUAGGGGGCGAGCGUUGUCCGGAUUUACUGGGCGUAAAGGGUGAGUAGGCGGUAAUAUGUGUCAGAUGUAAAAGGCUAUGGCUUAACCAUAGUUGGCAUUUGAAACUGUAUUACUUGAGUGCAGGAGAGGUAAGUGGAAUUCCUAGUGUAGCGGUGAAAUGCGUAGAUAUUAGGAGGAACACCAGUGGCGAAGGCGACUUACUGGACUGUAACUGACGCUGAGUCACGAAAGCGUGGGUAGCAAACAGGAUUAGAUACCCUGGUAGUCCACGCUGUAAACGAUGAGUGCUAGGUGUUGGGUAGCGAUAUUCAGUGCCGAAGUAAACACAAUAAGCACUCCGCCUGGGGAGUACGGUCGCAAGACUGAAACUCAAAGGAAUUGACGG